ensembl:lncRNA
CACCUGCUGAAGGGAAUUCAUAAAGAAAUUAAAAGAAUGGAAAUUGGUUGUCACAAUCUAAUCUAUGCUGCAAUGAAAUAUGUACAUUUAAAAAGCGGCCUAUGAAAAUUCUCAUCGAUAAUUAGCAUAGUAUAUAUCUAUUUGAUAAUCGAACCUGUAGCAUUUAGUGUAUGAAAUAUUAUAGUCUAGAAAGAGGUCUAUACAACAUUAUUAUGACUUAUUACAAUGAUACAAAGCUUGCUGCAAUAAUAGUUAAAUAAUAACAAAGUAUGGCAAGCUAGUGAGAAGUAUAACUCUUCAUGCAUGGCUUUACACUUUUAAUUGGUGGGAACAUUUAGACAUUAAACAGUUGAAAUUUACAAAGUGUUGGAUAAUCCAGUCUAAAGCCCAAUUUUCAAAGGCUAAUUUGCUAAUAGCAUCAUAAUUGAACCUUUUGUCAAGUUCUGCAAUCUUUGCUUUCGAUUUCUAUACCUAUUCACCUAGGGGACUAUUUCAAUGUUAUAAUUCUGUUUUAGCUGUUUAAAACUAUGAAUAAAAAUGAUUAUGAAGGUAGGAAAAACUAAAGGAAUUAGGAAAAUACAGUCUGGGAAACACACAUCUGGACUGACAGAAGUUUUCAAGGGUAUGAAAGGAUAACAUAGAGGAUUGUAUCCAUUUUCUAUUGGGAGAGAAGAAAUGUAUUUGAGAGGAAGCAGAAGGCUUAUAAAGUGCAUAAGAAGCAAUUUCUAUAAGAUAAAGAUUGGACAUGUGAAAAAGAGAGUGCCGUAGCUCAUUUUUCAAAGCAAGAGUUACACAAGACCAGUGUUGAUUUAAAUGGACAAGUAGCUAGAUGGCCCAGCCCUCCCAAUCCUUUUGAUGUCUGAUGGAGUCAUUAGCUUCCACUCACUCAAUUCUAAUUUUUAAGGAAUUUUUUCCUUGAGAUUUUUGCACCUCUUUUUCCAUUGGCUAAUUGUUUUUGUUUUGUUUUGUUUUUUUAAGGAAUUCUUCAGGAAAAUUUUAUGCCUCUUUUACCUUUAGGUCAAUUUUGUUUUUUAAGGUGUUAUUUUCUUCAGUUUGUUUUUGUGCCUCUUUUACUAAGCUAUUAAGUCUCUUUUCAUAAUUUUCUUGCAUCACUCUCAAUUCUCAAUUUUUUAUACUACUCAUCUCAUCUUUAAGUCUUCCGGGAAUUAUUGCUGGGCUUGGGUCCAGUUAACAUUUUACUUUGAACAUUUUCUUAUCUUUAUUUUCACCUCAUCAUCUUCUCCUGAGUUAUCCCUGCCACCAUAUCUAGUUAAUCAUAACAACCAAAAAUGUUCACUUUUUAUGAUCAGAUUCUUUUGUUGUUGUUUACUCAUUUCCCCUGCUUAUUCCUUGAUUUUUAACUUUAUCUUAAAAUUGGGUUCUGCUCCCCAAGAGUGAAAAGGGGGGAAGGAAGGUAGUGUUCCAAGUUUCCAUUUCCAGAACUAGUUCUGGAAAUCUGCUAGUUUUUGAUGCUUCCAAUGUGGUAUAAUUUAGACUAGCUCUCCUGGUCUGUGUUUUGGUCUUUAUCCAGUAAAGACUUUUGGUCCCCUGGAGCCCCAAAUGCUAGUGUUCUCUGUGUUGGUACUGUGAACAGGGUCCUUGCUCCCUCAUGACUAACCCUUAGAACCCAUCUCCACCCUUGAACUGUGACUCCAAACUGUUUAUGAGUAAUAGAAUUACCAGUCAGUGCCAGCUGUACCUAAGGUCAAUAAAAGGUGCCCUAUAAUCUCUAUAGCCAGCUGUCUUCACCCUCUUACUCUCUCUGGGCACAGAGCCCCUGAAAUUGCUGCUGCUGCAGCCAUGUGUGCUGACUCUAGACAGAUUUCGACCCUGAUGAAAUAAACCUUUCCUGACAACUUUUUAAGAUUUCUUAGGCUGGGAAAAAUUUCUCACUUUGACCAUUUGUUUGCUCUGCCAUUCCAAAUUUUGAUUUGAAACAUUUUUUAAAAAGUUAUUUGAAGGGGAAUGUUUAGAGAGUUCAGCUGGGUUGCUUCAAAUUUGCCAUCUUGGCCUGGCCCUCCCAAUUUUAUUAUUUCCUGAUGUUUUUCAUGUAUUUGCUCAAUUUUGAAUAUCUGGUUAACAGCCCUGUUUUGGUUCUAUUUUCAGAUAAGUAUCUCAAUCAGUGAUUUACCAGUUUAAGUUCUUUAUUGAGCAUAUCCACAAAAGGGACACGUAAGGUAGUUUUGGCUAAAAUUUACAUAAGCUCAAAACUGGAAUCUUAAGCAUGAUCCACUCCAAAAUGAUUUGUGUGUUUUCACACAGCUAGAAAUGUCACAUAGCUCUUAGGCUAUUAAGCCAUUCAAAUGAGCAUUCUAUAAUAAAAGUGGCAACUAUACUUCUUGUUCCAUUUUAAGAUAACUUCCACUCAUGUGCAUACAUGUUUACACAUAUUUAAUCAAAUGUUUCCUACAUCAAUUCUUGAUGACUUUAGGAUCAAUUAAAGUUUUAUUAACAGCCUUAUAAAACCCACUUGACACAUUUCUUUAUAGUCUUCCUACACACUAUACCUACAAUCUCAGUAUUGUUUUCUAAAAUGACAAAAUGAUGUUUUCUCACCCUAAAAGGAUAUUGUUUUCCCAAAGGAAACAAAUGUUUACUAGAACUUGGCUCAUUAAAUAUACUAAUAAAAGACUGAAGCUUUUUCUAUCAACAUGGAAUCAUUACAAAAAAAUUUCUUUAUACCAAUAAUCCACUUUCCACUAUACUAAAAAUAAUUUUGCCUUAAGUCUACAAUGUAAAAUAACAAAGAGCAGAAAUGAAGCCUUUUUUGGAACUCAUGGUAGCAUGUAUUGGACUGAUUUUGAGGGGGCCUUUUUAGUUAUCUUUUCAGUUUGCAAGUAGAGAAAAUUAACUUCAAACAUAUUUUUAUCUUCUGUUGCCUGAUUAUCUCUCAGCUUUUACUCUGCUAAAACAAUAAAACUACCUGGUCCUGCACUUGCCUAACUGUGACUGAAUUCCAUCCAACCAAGCAGAACAUCCUUGUCAUUGUUUGUAUAAUAUUGGCACAAUCCCUUAUUUACAGUGUCAGUCUACUGAUGAUAUACCUGUCUUCUAAUAAACCAUCCAUUCACAAAGGAAAGGAAAAUUAGUUUCCUCAUAAAUUAUAAUUAAGUCCUUUCCCCAAAACAAUGAAACAAAAACUUUUAACCACUGAUUUUUGGUAUUCUAGUUUAACUUUAGUUAGGGGUACUAUUUUGGAAUUAGGUUACUUAUU